AAUACAUGCAUUUGUUACAUCCAGGCUUGACUACUGUAAUUCUCUGUAUGUUGGUGUUCCUCAGUCCUGUGUUUCUCGUCUGCAGUUAGUCCAGAAUGCAGCAGCUCGGCUUCUUACUGGAAAGUGCAAAUAUGAGACUGUUACACCGGUUUUAAUAUCACUUCAUUGGCUUCCAGUAAAGUACAGAAUUGAUUUUAAAAUUCUACUUUUUGUUUUUAAAUCUCUUCACAAUUUGGCCCCACUGUACUUAACCGAGUUGUUACAGCCUCAUACUUUGUCGAGAUCGCUAAGAUCUACUAAUUCUGACCUGCUGCAUGUUCCUAGGACAAGGCUAAAAACGAGAGGUGACCGUGCCUUUUCUGUUGUCGGCCCAAAACUUUGGAAUAUGCAGCAGAUCAGAA